UAGAAGGACUGUAAUGUAAUAGUUUUUUUAUUUUCUAUCUUCUUGAUGUUAAAAAGGACCUCUCUUCGAUUUCUAUUUGUGCUAAGGGACAUAUCGUAAAAGUAGCAAGGAUCGUUAUCUGAACUACCUUUCCCUCUCUCCCGUUGACUCUCCUCCCUCUGAGUCUCAAUCCCGUCUCUUGAAUCCUCGAUCCGUCAUGGCGCGGCAGCAAGCAUCCAGCGGCAGGUGCAGCUCAGCACGGGCGGCAGGUGCAGCUCAGCACGGGCGGCAGCAAGCAUCCAGCGGCAGGUGCGGCUCGGCACGGGCUGCGCUACGUCCGGCGGCCGACGCGACGCGGCAUGGACGCCGAGACAUCCGGCGGCUGUCGCAGCUCGGUGCGGGCGGCCGGCUGGCAGCGUGGAGCAGGCGGCCGGCGUGACGCACACGCAGCUCAGGUAUGUGCGCCGUUGCUGAUUUUUCCCAGCAAAAUGAGUAUCUGUGCAGAUCGGGCAGCGCCAUCAUCAGGCAGUCGCGUGCGCAGCUGCGCGAAUCGGAUCAGCGGGCGCCGUCGUCGGGAGAAGAUGACUUGUACAACGCGUCGGCGUGUUCUCGGAGCACGGGCAUUCAAUACUGUACACGUCGGCUCCUUUUGCCUAUGUGGCGCUAUAUAGACGGGUGGCGUCCAACUGAUGUACGUGCCCUGAUGGGACGCCUUAAUUUUGGCCGUGGAUGAUUGGUCGCGGCCGGCGCCUGGAUGGAAAAUCUAGCGCCGGCGGGUGGGGGCCGUCGUCGGCAGCGAUCUUGGGGGACUAGCUGGGGCCAAAAACGCCGAAGUAUACCAUGCCGGCGGAGAGGCACAUGAAGUUGCCCGCAUGCGUAUCCUUUUGAGUGCUUGUCGCGUGGUACAAUGGCAGGUACACUCUGCCCAAUCCAGCUCCUGCAUCUGCAUCAUGGGUUCACUCAUUGUGCUUCCUCCGGCCCCUUGUUUUGUUUCCAUGAGGAGUACUGCCAGUGGGCUACGACGCUAAUCAAGCUGCCCCAUUGCUCAAAUAGUGGUCAAACAUCGACGGGAAAAGGCCAAUCCUUUGUAUGCCACACUCCACUGCAAAGACAAAAUUAUUGUAUGUUAUGCGAUCACGCUUGGAAAGACCACGGUUCUGCGUGGAGGAAAAGGCAUGCAGGGUCCAAAUGGCUAAGCUCAACUCCA